AUUGAACGCUGGCGGCAUGCCUUACACAUGCAAGUCGAACGGCAGCGCGGGUGCUUGCACCUGGCGGCGAGUGGCGAACGGGUGAGUAAUACAUCGGAACGUGCCCUAGAGUGGGGGAUAACUAGUCGAAAGAUUAGCUAAUACCGCAUACGAUCUACGGAUGAAAGUGGGGGACCGCAAGGCCUCAUGCUCCUGGAGCGGCCGAUGUCUGAUUAGCUAGUUGGUGGGGUAAUAGCCUACCAAGGCGACGAUCAGUAGCUGGUCUGAGAGGACGACCAGCCACACUGGGACUGAGACACGGCCCAGACUCCUACGGGAGGCAGCAGUGGGGAAUUUUGGACAAUGGGGGAAACCCUGAUCCAGCAAUGCCGCGUGUGUGAAGAAGGCCUUCGGGUUGUAAAGCACUUUUGUCAGGAACGAAACGGUGAGGGUUAAUACCUCUUGCUAAUGACGGUACCUGAAGAAUAAGCACCGGCUAACUACGUGCCAGCAGCCGCGGUAAUACGUAGGGUGCAAGCGUUAAUCGGAAUUACUGGGCGUAAAGCGUGCGCAGGCGGUUGUGCAAGACAGAUGUGAAAUCCCCGGGCUCAACCUGGGAAUGGCAUUUGUGACUGCACGGCUAGAGUGUGUCAGAGGGGGGUAGAAUUCCACGUGUAGCAGUGAAAUGCGUAGAUAUGUGGAGGAAUACCGAUGGCGAAGGCAGCCCCCUGGGAUAACACUGACG
rnacentral:rRNA from 1 species